rnacentral:rRNA from 1 species
UACGGGGGGAGCAAGCGUUGUUCGGAUUUACUGGGCGUAAAGGGCGCGUAGGCGGCGCAACAAGUCACUUGUGAAAUCUCCGGGCUUAACUCGGAGCGGUCAAGUGAUACUGUUGUGCUAGAGUGCGGAAGGGGCUACUGGAAUUCUCGGUGUAGCGGUGAAAUGCGUAGAUAUCGAGAGGAACACCUGCGGCGAAGGCGGGUAGCUGGGCCGACACUGACGCUGAAGCGCGAAAGCUAGGGGAGCGAACGGG